rnacentral:rRNA from 1 species
CCACGCCGUAAACGAUGUCGACUUGGAGGUUGUUCCCUUGAGGAGUGGCUUCCGGAGCUAACGCGUUAAGUCGACCGCCUGGGGAGUACGGCCGCAAGGUUAAAACUCAAAUGAAUUGACGGGGGCCCGCACAAGCGGUGGAGCAUGUGGUUUAAUUCGAUGCAACGCGAAGAACCUUACCUACUCUUGACAUCCAGAGAACUUAGCAGAGAUGGAUUGGUGCCUUCGGGAACUCUGAGACAGGUGCUGCAUGGCUGUCGUCAGCUCGUGUUGUGAAAUGUUGGGUUAAGUCCCGCAACGAGCGCAACCCUUAUCCUUUGUUGCCAGCGGUUCGGCCGGGAACUCAAAGGAGACUGCCAGUGAUAAACUGGAGGAAGGUGGGGAUGACGUCAAGUCAUCAUGGCCCUUACGAGUAGGGCUACACACGUGCUACAAUGGCGCAUACAAAGAGAAGCGACCUCGCGAGAGCAAGCGGACCUCAUAAAGUGCGUCGUAGUCCGGAUUGGAGUCUGCAACUCGACUCCAUGAAGUCGGAAUCGCUAGUAAUCGUAGAUCAGAAUGCUACGGUGAAUACGUUCCCGGGCCUUGUACACACCGCCCGUC